GCUCCAGCAUCCAGGGGGAACCCAACUACCUUCACCUCCUGCCCCUCUGUGCUCUGGGAAGAACUGUCUGCCCUUUGCUGAUUACUUAAUGUGAAAGACAGCGUGUGACUUGAUGACUGAUUUCCAGAAUUGCAGCAGGAGAAACAGGACAAAAACCUGCAAAAAUAUCAACAAUGGAUGAAAAAAACAGGAGACCUGACACCAUAACGGAGUGCAACAGCACCUUACCUUUGCAGGAAAGCUGUGAAGUUCACGGAUGCUGCUCUCUGAGCUUCAAGGUGUGAACGUCCAGAAGAAUGAGCAGAGACACAAGGCUGCAGCAGAGCGCUUUGGGAGUGGAACCGCUACCUUUUCUGGCACUGAUUACAACUGUGUCGUGGCGUUUCCUGCUUUGGAAAUAAAAUGGAUUUGUUGCAGACUGCACCAGGUUGAUCCCUCCAGAGAAGACGGGGGUGUGGACUUUCAACAAGCUCACUCCUGAUUGGGAAGAUUGGCUGUUGAUGCAGACCGUUUUAGACCAAUCCCUGCCUACUGAUCCCAGCAUGGCGGCAUACGUAUAGCAAAAAACUUGAUUUACCAUAAUCUCAGAGCCUGAAGUAAGUACUUUUCUAUUGGCUUUUAUGUGUUUGUGUCUUUAACAAAUAAAAUGGGAAAUGUAGUUUUAAUAACUUUUGUGGGAUUGUUAAUGUAAGUCAAAACCAAACAGGCCCCAAAAUGGAUCCUUGAGGCUCACCAAAUUUAAUUUUAUGUCUCUGACAAUCAAAAACAUAUUUUGUCCUGCAAUUCACAUGACGACAUUACUAUUUAUGAAUAAGCUUUUCAAUAAUCAAGUUGGUAAUUGAAGUGAUUUCCUUCUUGUCAUCUUUCACGUGUUUUUGCUGAAAAGUCUUGUCUUGACUGUAACACAUGUUCACCUUUGGAUCUUGUGUAAUGCAGUAUGAAAAUCCUUUAUCUUGAGGGAGUUACUCUUCUGUUUUCAGGAAACAUGUCAAUGAUUGCAAGGAUUUACUGUUAAUGGAGAAUCUCUUUACACAUUUCUUUAAGACAUCUGUUCUUAGGACAUCUGCUUUGAAUUACGCCCUGAUGCCACAGCAUUACAUGGGACUGCUGCAUUGUAAGACUCUGCAUCUAAUGUCAUCAGUUCUUCAAAGAUCUUUUGUAGAAUUUCAAAAAUCUUUAUAUCAAAAACAAAAUUUUCUUUGGAGUGGGUCAAAUUGCUGAUUGAGCUACGAUGAUCAAUCAUAAAAGCUAAAAAUCAGAUCUCAUUUUCACACAAACUUCUAACCCUCCAGAAAUAAUUUUCAGAUUAUAAAAACCAACAUUUGGUCUCUUUUUAUUUGUUCUGUUUGAUUAAAUAUUUUUAAUUUAAUAACAACAUUUUUAGAGUGUCUUAAGGUCAGCUCUUAUUUCAGUUUAUUGACUCCUGUUUGCAGUUUGGCCAUAAACUGCAUUUGUCUGAUUAAGGAAAGGAGCUUCACAUCUUGGCUUUUAUGGACGUGCCAGAGGACGUGCAACCUUUGAAUGAGUAACUUUAAUGAUCAGAACUGUAAGCAAACAGAAAUAAAACACUUUUUAGGAUAGAACUGUGAUCCAUGAAGACCAAAACUGUCUGUACUUUUCCUUCCUAAAUGACUCAGCAUUUUUGCCUUCUCCUGGUGGUUCAUCACAGGACUGCACUCUAAAUACCUAUAUUUUUGUGCCAGAUUUGUAUAAACUAAAAAUGCAGAAACAAUACAGCUCUGACAUUUAUGAAGCAUUUUGGAGAUUUUAGUGUUGAUAUUGUAUUUUUGAUCAUUAAAUCUGAAAAAAUAAGUAGUUUUUUUUAUGCUGUGAUGGAAUUACUUUCCUCUGAAGUCAAUCAUGCGGGCAGAAAGAAAAGUUUGAUUUUUGUACUGUUGCUUUUCUACUUUGCUUUUGCGAACAUUGUUGUCAAAAAAAGCCACAGUUUGGAAGUCCAUCGUUUUCCAGAUGUCCAAUAAUUUCUGUACCUGUCCAGGAUGUACCUUGCCAGGAUAGGCUCCAGCAACCAUGUGACCCUCAAAGAGGAUGGAUGGAUGGAUGGAUGGAUGGAUGGA